GCCUUUCAUAGUUUCGCGGUACUGCUUCCGACAGGCCCUCCUGAUUUGCACCUGCCGAGCUAGUGUUGUUCCCAUUCUGACAAACUUCCGGUGACCUGUUAUUAACUCUCAAGAGUGUUCAACAGCAGAGGUGAAACUGAAAGUUAACUCCAUCAAGAGCAGCGCUGGUUAACCAAGUACAAGGCAUCUAAUGUGAAACGUUGAAAUCAUCACUGUGCACCUUUUUCUUGGAGAUGGACUGGAUUCGAAGCGAGAAGUAAAUCCGAGCUGCUAACAUGAGUUCAGCUGAGAGAGCAGCCUGUCUCUUCCCCUCACAUUGGCAGCUUGACAUUAUCAGGAAAUCGGUGCGCUGGAAGCUGAGGGCACCUGCGUGAACCUGUUAAUGGAGGUGCUGAGUGCCGGUGAUGGGGCUGAGAGAAGGGCAGCUGUGAGUGGGGAAAUCCCAGUUUAGAGGCAUUGUGUGCAGGCCGCUGCUUUGGGAUCCAUUUCAGGCCCACAGCGUUAACAGGAUAUGAUUAGUGACUGCUGGGAAUCCACACUGUGGAUGAGUGAAAACACCAGGGCUUUAUUUUGUGUGUGUGUGUGUGUGUGUGUCUGACUGUGACUGUGUGUUUUUCUGUUUUUAUUGUAAAAUGUUGACUGGCUUCAUUCCUGAUGCACACAAUCUGAUGCAUUUGAUCCUUUCAGCCAGUAAGUGCUUUGUGUGUGUGUGAAUUGCUAGAUAGUGUGCUAGAUAAUAAAAAUGAUAUCCA
rnacentral:lncRNA from 1 species